CACGUAGGGACCGAGCGUUGUCCGGAUUUAUUGGGCGUAAAGAGCUCGUAGGCGGUUCGGUAAGUCGGGUGUGAAAACUCUGGGCUCAACUCAGAGACGCCACCCGAUACUGCUGUGACUUGAGUCCGGUAGGGGAGCGGGGAAUUCCUGGUGUAGCGGUGAAAUGCGCAGAUAUCAGGAGGAACACCGGUGGCGAAGGCGCCGCUCUGGGCCGGAACUGACGCUGAGGAGCGAAAGCGUGGGUAGCAAA
rnacentral:rRNA from 1 species